rnacentral:rRNA from 1 species
AUUGAACGCUGGCGGCAUGCCUUACACAUGCAAGUCGAACGGCAGCGGGGGAGAAGCUUGCUUUUCCUGCCGGCGAGUGGCGAACGGGUGAGUAAUACAUCGGAACGUGCCCUGUAGUGGGGGAUAACUAGUCGAAAGAUUAGCUAAUACCGCAUACGACCUGAGGGUGAAAGUGGGGGACCGCAAGGCCUCAUGCUAUAGGAGCGGCCGAUGUCUGAUUAGCUAGUUGGUGGGGUAAAGGCCUACCAAGGCGACGAUCAGUAGCUGGUCUGAGAGGACGAUCAGCCACACUGGGACUGCGACACGGCCCAGCCUCAUACGGGAGGCAGCAGUGGGGAAUUUUGGACAAUGGGCGAAAGCCUGAUCCAGCAAUGCCGCGUGUGUGAAGAAGGCCUUCGGGUUGUAAAGCACUUUUGUCCGGAAAGAAAUGGCUCUGGUUAAUACCUGGGGUCGAUGACGGUACCGGAAGAAUAAGGACCGGCUAACUACGUGCCAGCAGCCGCCGUAA